rnacentral:lncRNA from 1 species
GGGCACCUGAUUAACAAAACUUGAAUCUUAAAAAAUAUUCCCUUGUUCUAACAGGUGGGCGCCUGAUUACCCAAAUUUGAAUCUUGAAAAAUAUUUCCUUGUUCUAACAAGUGGGCGCCUGAUUACCAAAAACUUGAAACUUGAAAGAUAUUUCCUUUCUCUAAUAGGUGGGAGCCUGAUUACCAAAACUUGAAUCUUGAAAAAUAUUCCCUUGUUCUGACAGGUGCGCACCUAAUUAUCAAAACUUGAAUCUUGAAAAAUUUUCCCUUGUUCUAACAGGUGGGCGGCUGAUUACCAAAGCUUGAAUCAUGAAAAAUAUCCCCUUGUUAUAACAGGUGCACGCCUGAUUACCAAAACUUGCAUCUUGAAGACAUUCCCUUGUUCUAACAGGUAGGUGCCUGAUUACCAAAACUUAAAUCUCAAAAAAUAUUCACUUGUUCUAACAGGUGGACUCCUGAUUACAAAAAUUUGAAUCUUGAAAAAUAUUUCCUUGUUCUAACAGGUGGGCGUCAAAUUACCAAAACUUGAAUCUUGAAAAAUAUUCCCUUGUUCUAACUGGUGGGCGCCUGAUUACAAAAACUUGAAUCUUGAAAAAAAUUUCCUUGUUCUAACAGGUGGCACCUGAUUACCAAAACUUGAAUCUUUAAAAAUAUUCCCUUGUUCUAAUAUGUGGGCGCCUGAUUACCAAAACUUGAAUCUUGAAAAAUAUUCCCUUGUUCUAACAGGUGGGCGCCUGAUUACCAAAACUUGAAUCUUGAAAAACAUUCCCUGAUACUGUUGCUUGUGUACCUGAUAACAACAGAUAAAACAAGAGAAAUUCUUUUUGCCCCGGUUUGGUACUGGAUGCGUCUGUGAGUGUUAAUCAAAUCCCUUAGCAACUUGAAAUUAGGCGGUGUUCUCAUAAGGUAUUGUUUUCCACUAUGUUUUUAUUAUUUGAGGUACGUUUGCUAGGGAUUUACUGGGGAUUGGUGAUUGAAGUUGCUUUCCAUUAUCCGGGAAAAGUCUAUACAUAUCAUAAUUAGAUGGCCAGAUGUGUCUGCUGGAGAUUAGUAUUUAGAGCUAGAUCCUAUUACCCAAGCAGGUCCCGACAACCCUUGACUAGAUGACCAAAUGUGUCUGUUGGGGAUUAAUGAUUAGAUCUACAUCCCAUUAUCGAGGAGGAUCCUGAAAGCUUCUACAAUUAAACCAUACUAUCCAGGCGGGUCCUUACGACUCUUGUCGAUUUUUGUUGGGGAAACAUUUGUGCUUGCCCAUGUUACCCGAUUGUUUGUACAUUUAGACUAGCUCCCAUUUUUGAGGAGGGUCCUGAAAACUAUUAACUGAAUCCUACUUCAAUCAUGGAAAUCAUCUUAUGCCCUCUGCUAUCCAUGAUUACCUCUAACUUUUAAAUAAGUCCCAUUUUUCAGGAGGGUCCUGAGUGUUCCAGAUUAAAUGAUGAUUCUAACUUCUGGUUGUUUUUUUGCUGGUGAUCAUUGUUGAAGAGGGUUUCAGUGACUCUUACCAGGGAAUGUGUUUGUGCCAGCCCAUGGUGUUCGUGCAUGUUUGGGUUUUAAACUGAGUCCCAUUUCAACUUGCAUGCCCCUUUUAAACCUCAAUUGUUUCUGUUGGGGUUUGCUAAUUAAAGUUUGUCUCAAUUUACCAUUGCUGGGGAGCAUAUUUAUGUCGGAUUACGUUCUUUUUCAAUUUUAACUGGGUCCCAUUUUCAGAUGGGACCUGAGGUUUUGAUCAUACCUACCAGGUGCUUGCCCUUCCCCGGUUGGCGGCCUCCCUUAGGAUCUUCUGGCAUAUUCUGCCCCUAUGUCAACCAAAGAAAACUUGUGGUUUGAAAAGUGGUGGUUAGCUUGCAGCAUUCCCAAUGUCGUGUUCCAUUGUGUUAAAUUUUCCGUGUUGAUGAUGAGCUGCCUGGGUUGAUUGGUUGACCCCCGAACCUAUAUGGUUUUACUUUGCUUGCCCGUUGAUGUGUUACACUCUUGGCCCUUUUCCAAAACUUUUACAUCUUUCCUGGGAUUAACUAGGUCAGUGUAUUGUGCUCGUCUGACCCCUGAACCUUCGUGGCUUUCUUCUGCUCCCCAUAUUUGUGUUAGGCUCCUUCACAUUGCCAAAAUCUUGCCUUUCGAGUCAAUUUUAUCAUUGAAGUAUUUGUGAAUCUUUCCCUUUGCCGUUUCAAACUUUUGCUGCCUUUGUUACGUUUUUGGGUACCAUGUGCUUCAUACCUUGUUAGUAUCAAAAAUAGUAAUGUUAUUUUGUAUCCAAACACUUAUUCUAAUGAAAUCAACAGCAAAACGGGAUUUACUAUGGCAAUUAGACAUAUCCAAGUAGCAUAUCAAUUCUCAAACAUAAAACCAAUCUGGUUGUUGGAUUACUUAGAACAAAGACUGAGUCGAAUUACUAAAAUGAAACACGAAGGCAACCAGCAGGUAUGACAAAGAGCAGCACACUUUAAACUUGUACUAAUUACACUAGUGAAGCAAAAUAGUCCUGGUCUUGUCUUUUUUCCUCUAACAGGAUUACAUACAAACUUAAGAGUAUCAGAGUUAAUCAUGAAUACAUGAAACUAUAACAUGAGACAAUAAUGAGCCUGGGACAUGGGGAUCCAAUGCACAGAACAUUAACCUGAGUACUGAUUAUUACAAACCAUAUAUAAAAGUUAAUUUUGAUGAAAGGCUAAUAGUAAAGAUAAAUAAAGAAAUAAAAACAAAGGAACAUAGAGAAUUUUCAUGCUUAAGCUCUUAUUUCACUUUCCAAUGGAGGAAUACAUCUACAGAAUCGUGAACAAGUACCUGGAGAGUAAGGAAAAUGAGAAGUGGGAAGAGUCAGCAGCAGUAGUUGAAAUCAGCAGCAAUAACUCAAGAUCCAAAUACAAUUUCAAGCUCGAAACCCCCUAGUUAUAUCACCAGAUCAAGCUUAUAAAACCAGCUUUGAGAAAAUUGAAUUUCAAUCCAUUUGAAAAUCCCCCAGGAACUAAAAAAUGACUUCAGUAAGUCUAAAUCCUUAAAGUUCAAAGCAGAGACUCGAUGAAACAGUAAAUUCUGAUUUUCUAACCUAUUUCGAAUUUUCUAGAUUCGUUUUCAGCUUUUGAAAAUCUUAACUCUAUCUUUCAACCCUUUUGAAUUCUAGGUCAGCCAGAUUUUCUAGCUCUCCAAUUUCUUGAGGCUAUUUUUUGUAUGUUUUUUUUCGAAGACUUCUCCCUUUUUCUUGUUUUUUUUAGAACUCUCUUUGAUUUUUCCAGAUUUUUUUUUCUUGCCUUGCAAGGCAAGUAUAGGGUGCCUAUAUAGCCAAAUGAUUAAGGCAACCUUAUCCUAACUAGCCAUUUUUCAUUUUACCCCUCUUGAAUAAAUUAUUUUUUACCUUCCUACCCUUCUCAAGAAUCUGAAAAUCAUGCUUCUUAACAAAACUCAUACUUAUCCUAUCUGUGGAAACAUCUACCCAACAGAAAUGAUUCCUUCCCCCACCUAGAAUUCCUGAAUUUCCUUGGCCUAAUUUGUCAUUACAGUCCUUACCUAACAAUUAAGACCCCUUAAGUUUCUGAUGCAAUUAAGACCUUCCGGCUAAUUAACAACUAGGACAAACAACAGGUUUCAGAAUUGAAAGAGAAAGGAAAAUCAAACAAACCAAUAUUGAAUUACUUUAAACUUAUAACUAUACCUGCAUCUAUUGCUCAAAGACCUUGGAAUCAAGACGACACACCUAGGAAUACUUGAAUCUAUUCAGAAACUAAUACAAAUGAACUAGAUUAACUAGAUAUAAUAGAUAAUAUCUCUAAACCCUAACAUGCCACCAUUUCCAUUCUCUUAAUAAAAAAAUAAUUAAACAUAAUCAAUCCUUAAACCUAUAAGAAAUAAAACUCAGAAAAGAAGAAAACAAAGGAAGAAAAAAACACAAAAACUUAAUGACUGAAUAUACAGUCCAAAUUAUGAUAGAAUGCAGAAAAACCAAAAUCAAACGAUGAAAAAGAAAAGAGGAUUACCUGAAACAACCUCUUCAACACUGGAAUCGCUCACUCAGAUUGUCGAGCCAAAGGGUGAAUUCGAACUACCGUUAGUCGUCUGUUCUUAACAAGAAAAAAUCGACUAACGAAUGUUUUGAGUUCACCCAAGCUUAUCAAGACCCAAAGAUGCAAAAGAGAAAACAGGGACUAGGGCUUCAUAUUUCAGAUCCAUGAUUCGAAUCAUUUGACAAAUGAUUAGAGGUCAAUCAGAUACAUAUUGGGUAUGUGGGGGUCAAGCCGAUUAUAUGGUGUUAAUUUGGGACUGGUUGGGUAAAGUAGGGUUUUGGGGUCCUAUUUCAACCUAAAAUUCGAAGAGUAUUGGGGUGAUUCGGAGAAAAUGGGUUGGGGAUUCAGACUGGCGAAGGUGAGAGGAGACCAUGGUGUAAGUUUGGAAGGGAUUGGCCACCGUCCGCCGCCAUGGGCGAUUUCUGACGAGCGUAGGACGGUGGUUUAUGGCUAGCCUCUGAAG